GGAUCACAUGCAUACAUGAAAACUGACUCGGCUGUGCUUGAAGCAAACUGUCUUGGAGAAAAAGAAGGAAAAUGGCUGUUUGGUCUUUUAUCCAGCAUGGUGCCAAAGGUCAAAGAAUGUUACAUUGACAGCUCAUCAACUGGUCCCAGCUGGCAAAAAAGAAAUCCUCACAACCAUACAAUAAAAUCUACAGUAGUUGUUCCUACCAGAAGUCCAGUUGAAAGCAGCAAAUCUAGGAUACGAUGGAACUUAAAUGGACUCCUAUCUAUGAGGUUCACAUUAAGGACUUUCUGUAUAGCACCAUUUUAAUAAGAGCCUCCAUAAAAAAAAAUGCAAUACAAAAAUUCAGUAGCAGAUGCUAUGUACAGUAUGUAUUUUUGAUUUUAGUUGACACAUCUAUACAAUAAUAAAAAGCAAUAUACAGUCUUUCGGGUCAUAAAUUUGUCAGA